UCGGGAAUUUUGGGCAAUGGGCGAAAGCCUGACCCAGCAACGCCGCGUGAAGGAUGAAGUAUUUCGGUAUGUAAACUUCGAAAGAAUAGGAAGAAUCAAUGACGGUACUAUUUAUAAGGUCCGGCUAACUACGUGCCAGCAGCCGCGGUAAUACGUAGGGACCAAGCGUUGUUCGGAUUUACUGGGCGUAAAGGGCGCGUAGGCGGCGCGGUAAGUCACUUGUGAAAUCUCUGAGCUUAACUCAGAACGGCCAAGUGAUACUGCAGUGCUAGAGUGCGGAAGGGGCAAUCGGAAUUCUUGGUGUAGCGGUGAAAUGCGUAGAUAUCAAGAGGAACACCUGAGGUGAAGACGGGUUGCUGGGCCGACACUGACGCUGAGGCGCGAAAGCCAGGGGAGCAAACGGGAUUAGAUACCCUCGUAGUCCCUGAGCGGGCUGGCAAGGCGCAU
rnacentral:rRNA from 1 species